AUAGCUAUGAAAAUCAGCACCUAGCCACUCAAUACCUAAAAUAGGAUUUUAUGUUAGGUAGAUGUGUUAGAAUAAUUCACUGCCACCUAGCAGCUUUCAAUCUUCCUUAGUGGAUAAAAUCAAAAUGUAAAUAGCGUUAUGCAGGCUUAAAGGUACAGGGAAAAACUGUAAUACAGAAGUGGUAAUGGUGGGAAGUACAGGCCAGGGGUUAGUUUGGGAAACUAAGAUGAGAUUUAGAAUCAGACUCUAGGUUUCUAAUCUCUACCGAGCCAUUUGAUUUUAUUUGUGUAAUAAUUUAUAGCAAGGUUGAUCAGUAAUAUAGUUAAGGCACAUAAUAUAUUGUCUGACACAUAAAUGGUUCCUGUGCAAUGAUAGGAAGUUACUAUUAUUUUAUUGUGUAUUAUGUGUUAUAAUUUUGAAAGAGAAGUGAGCCAUCCUACUUCUUUGUGAUGCUCAUUAAUAGAAAAAAAAAAAAAGAUGUUCAUAGGUGGGAAAGAAUUUUUAAAACUCUCCUCUGUCUGAAGGAAACUACAUGGAGGAUGCCGAUAGCUACUGAGAAGGGGCAGAAGUGGAAGUAACACCCAAAGCAUGCUAAGGCAUUCUGGGAACUCUGACAUGCCACAGAGGUGAUUGUCAGUGAUGCCAUGUGUGCAUUUGCCACCAUCAGCUGGCAAUUUAGGAAAAUUCAAGUUCUUUCCUCAGCACAGUUUUUGGAUGGAAGUAGGGUCACAUGAUGGCCUCAUAAACUUGCUUGGAUCCUUCUGCCUGCAUCUCCACUGAGAAGUCAGAGUAGACCAUGUAAUAUGUGGU
rnacentral:lncRNA from 1 species